AGGGUGUAAACGACUGCAGACUUGGUGUUGGAGGCCCUUUGGGGGGCGAUUCAGUGCCGGAGAGAAGUUGGUAAGUCUGCUACUUGGGGAGUACGUCCGCAAGGAUGAAACUUAAAGGAAUUGGCGGGGGGAGCACCGCAACGGGAGGAGCGUGCGGUUUAAUUGGAUUCAACACCGUAAAACUCACCAGGGAAGACUGUUACAUGAAGGCCGAGAUGAAGACUCUGCUAGAUUUUCAGAGAGGAGGUGCAUGGCGUCAGUGACUGU
rnacentral:rRNA from 1 species